CUACGGGUCGCUGCAGUGAGGAAUAUUGCACAAUGGGGGGAACCCUGAUGCAGCGACGCCGCGUGGAGGAUGACGCAUUUCGGUGUGUAAACUCCUUUUAUAUGUCAAGAAAAUGACGGUAGCAUAUGAAUAAGCACCGGCUAACUCCGUGCCAGCAGCCGCGGUAAUACGGAGGGUGCAAGCGUUACUCGGAAUCACUGGGCGUAAAGGACGCGUAGGCGGGUUGGAAAGUCAGGUGUGAAAUCCUACAGCUUAACUGUAGAACUGCACUUGAAACUUCUAAUCUAGAGUAUGGGAGGGGGAGAUGGAAUUAGUGGUGUAGGGGUAAAAUCCGUAGAUAUCACUAGGAAUACCUAAAGCGAAGGCGAUCUCCUGGAACAUUACUGACGCUAAGGCGUGAAAGCGUGGGGAGCAAACAGGAUUAGAUACCCGAGUAGUC
rnacentral:rRNA from 1 species